UUACAGCUUUUAAUUUUGAUUGUUGUUGCUGAAUUUGUUGGUUGAGAAGCAUGUUUUCUAAUUUUUAAUGUUCUUGAUUGCAUGAGUGUUAAUCUUUAUAAGUUUGAGUAUCAAUUUCAUGAUCUUGUGGUGAUUUCUAUUGUUGAUCUUUAGAUGAAAUUCUAGGGUGCUUCUAAUGAUUGAAUUUGGUCUUUAGUUGUUAAUUAUGCUACUGGAAAAUGUUUGGGGGUUGAAGGAUUUAAAGCUCAAGUUCAUGAGCUUGAACUUUGUUGGUUUAAAUGCAUGAUUUUGAAUUGAUUGUGUAAUUUGAAUUUUGAGAGUUGUUGUUGAUGUUGUUUGCUCUCUGUUAUGAUGAUUUUUAUCUGUAAGAAGUUAAUUUUGGGUAUGGUUUGAUUAAGGUUCGAAUAUAUGGAAAAGUGGGCAUUUUUAGACCUUAAAAUCUGGUUUUCUGGGUUUUUCGAACCUAGUGGUCGCGGCCAGAUUUAUGGUCGCCGCGACCAUAAAACCCAGCAGAGAGCUAUCUUUUUUUUGAUUUUGUUUUGACCAUAACUUUUGACUCGGGACUCCGUUUUGGACAUUCUUUAUAUCAUUGGAAAGCUCGUUCCGAGCUCUUUAUGAUUAUGUGUAUUUUGAAUGCCAACUUUAUAUUUUGUGAAAGUGAAAUUAGGGAUUAACCCUAUUUGUGAAAUCCCGGGUUGUGUGACUAGGAUUACCGACACCUGAUCAGGAGCACCCAGGGGUUUGGAAUCUCUGUUUUUGCGGGACAACAUGAAAUGGUAAGGCAUUAGCUAAUGAGCCAUGAGUUCUGGAGCUGGGCGAAGAAUGUACAUGUCCGGGCCAUAUCUGACCAAGCGGGUUAAGGGUCUACCAGUGUUGAAUUUUCGAAACUCUAUUUUGCCGCUUAGGCCGACUAACUGAAAGAGACUUGUAAUAAAGUUUGUAAAUAUUUUUGGGAUCCCAACUGUUGUAAAGUUUAAAGUAUUACAAGUUUUAUUUUCAUUCCGUUUA